CCUUCGAUAGCUCAGUUGGUAGAGCGGAGGACUGUAGAGGCUUAGCUGAUAUCCUUAGGUCGCUGGUUCGAAUCCGGCUCGAAGGA
rnacentral:tRNA from 1 species